UACGUAGGUGGCAAGCGUUGUCCGGAAUUAUUGGGCGUAAAGAGCUCGUAGGCGGUUUGUCGCGUCGGCCGUGAAAACCUGCAGCUUAACUGUGGGCUUGCGGUCGAUACGGGCAGACUUGAGUUCGGUAGGGGAGACUGGAAUUCCUGGUGUAGCGGUGAAAUGCGCAGAUAUCAGGAGGAACACCGGUGGCGAAGGCGGGUCUCUGGGCUAUAACUGACGCUCAUGCACGAAAGCGUGGGGAGCAAACAGG
rnacentral:rRNA from 1 species